UACGUAGGUGGCAAGCGUUGUCCGGAAUUAUUGGGCGUAAAGAGCUCGUAGGCGGUUUGUUGCGUCGGCUGUGAAAACCUGAGGCUCAACCUCAGGCCUGCAGUCGAUACGAGCAGACUAGAGUGUUGCAGGGGAGACUGGAAUUCCUGGUGUAGCGGUGAAAUGCGCAGAUAUCAGGAGGAACACCGGUGGCGAAGGCGGGUCUCUGGGCAACAACUGACGCUGAGGAGCGAAAGCAUGGGGAGCGAACAGG
rnacentral:rRNA from 1 species